AUGAACGCUAGCUACAGGCUUAACACAUGCAAGUCGAGGGGCAGCAUGGUCUUAGCUUGCUAAGGCCGAUGGCGACCGGCGCACGGGUGAGUAACACGUAUCCAACCUGCCGUCUACUCUUGGACAGCCUUCUGAAAAGGAAGAUUAAUACAAGAUGGCAUCAUGAGUCCACAUGUUCACAUGAUUAAAGGUAUUCCGGUAGACGAUGGGGAUGCGUUCCAUUAGAUAGUAGGCGGGGUAACGGCCCACCUAGUCUUCGAUGGAUAGGGGUUCUGAGAGGAAGGUCCCCCACAUUGGAACUGAGACACGGUCCAAACUCCUACGGGAGGCAGCAGUGAGGAAUAUUGGUCAAUGGACGAGAGUCUGAACCAGCCAAGUAGCGUGCAGGAUGACGGCCCUAUGGGUUGUAAACUGCUUUUAUAAGGGAAUAAAGUGGGAGUCGUGACUCUUUUGCAUGUACCUUAUGAAUAAGGACCGGCUAAUUCCGUG
rnacentral:rRNA from 1 species